GAUGAAGAACGCAGCAAAAUGCGAUACUUGGUGUGAAUUGCAGAAUCCCGUGAACCAUCGAGUUUUUGAACGCAAGUUGCGCCCGAAGCCUUUUGGCCGAGGGCACGUCUGCCUGGGCGUCACGCAUCGCGUCGCCCCCCACAAAGUCUCCGUCAGGGGAGCUUGUGUUUCGGGGGCGGAUACUGGUCUCCCGUGCUCAUGGCGCGGUUGGCCGAAAUAGGAGUCCCUUCGAUGGACGCACGAACUAGUGGUGGUCGUAAAAACCCUCGUCUUUUGUUUCGUGCCGUUAGUCGCGAGGGAAGCUCUUCAAAAACCCCAGCGCGUCGUCUCUUGACGGCGCUUCGACCGCGACCCCAGGUCAGGCGGGACUACCCGCUGAGUUUAAGCAUAUCAAUAAGCGGAGGA
rnacentral:misc_RNA from 1 species